ACCGCACUGAUGCGAGCCGAAGCUGGUCACGUAGACGAAGCGCGCCAGGUCCUUCUCCCGACCCCGACCUGCCGGCAUCAUCCUCUGAGUCUCUCUAUGUUGUCCAGGCUGCCCUCAAGAUCACCAUCCUCCUGCUUCAGCCUCUCAAGUGCUGAGAUUAUUUGCAUGUGCAAUUCCACCCAGCUCUGUUAGGUUGCCACUCCCAAAUCAGUCAGCAUCUGAGAAGACUGGAGAGGAUAUGCGGAACAUGAAGUCACCUCGGCACCUUUCUUCUCCCUGAAACGGAGAGACAACAAAUCUGAUACAAAGCAGUUCAUGCCGCCAGAAGAACAGAAAUAGAAGAAGUACAAUGGACCACCAAAAAGACCAAAGCCACUGCACCUCAAGAACCUGUUUUAGCCUACCUGUGUGGAGCAACGCAGAGUUGUCUCACCCUCCAAUUGCCUGGUGUCUGCAUUGAGCUCCAAGAGCAGUCAGCGUGGAUGACUGCUAGAUAGGAUUCCUGGCACAUGACAAGAGAACUUGGUGGAUGAAGUCCAUGCAGUCAGCUCCUUCUCACCAGACAGAUCUCAGCCCAAAGGCCCCUCCUGAGAGCAGCCACCCUGGACUCCUCUCUGUCUCUGGUCCUCCCUCAUGUACCUCCUCUAACACAGUCUGAAACAACCUCUCUUAUUCAACAGGUUAUUCAUCUAAUGAAUGUAACCCUCGCACGGCACCAUGACCCCUGCCACUGCCACAUAAAAACAAGGACCUUGACCUUUUCAUUCCCACAGUAUGUAUUCAGGUGCCUCCUAUAGUGCCUGACACACUCAGGCAUGCCACACUGAUUUGUUGCAUAAAUGAACAAAAAACUAAACAAAUGAUAAAAUCACAAAAGAGUACAUACAGAAGCACGCAAAGGUAAAAAUCCUACGAGGACCAUCUUUCUCACAAGGUCUUGGCAAACAGCACAGUCCUUCUUUUCUUCACUCUUUCUCUCCUCUCAGCUCUACCACCUUCCCCACACUCUGACCACUGUCACAUCUUCCAGAUCCUACCUUUUUCCUCAAAAAUUUCACCCAUCUCCACAACAAGCUCAUCACUUUGUCCAUUCUUAGGGAAUUGAUCAAUGCUUUCAGUGUCUUCCAGGCAGGCACCAUGGCUUUCUUUGCUCUGUCUGAGCUGCUAGAGAGGGAAGUGGUCAGAGUAGAGUCCCACAAAUGAGGGUGAAUAUAACUGUCCCAACUCCAAUUGAGUCCCUGUCCACACAGCUGUUUCUCUGUACUAAGAGAUAAUUUUCCUGGCUCUGUAGAGUCCAAGCUCCUGUGUAGCGAAAGCUUCUCAUUUCUUUUGUGAGCAUGAUCUGUGCCAGACCUUUAAGAACAAUCCUUUCUUAUUCACCAUUCAACCUUGGUGCUAUUUCAAAAGACACUACAUUUGACAUUCACUGUAUUUCUAAAGGAUGGCACCAGCUUCCCCAAGUCAGUUUCCCUAGCUCUCUGACUCUAGUUUUCUGAUAAAAGGUAAAGAGGGCCUGCUGGCCCAUUCUACCACUUGUAGCCAGUGUCAGGCCUCAGGACUAGAGUGUGCUGCUGCCUCGGUCCUUCCACUGACAUUGCAUGGUCAGUCUCCACUUUUGAAACUUUUUUUAUCUCUUCCAUGAUGUCCCAUUGCUGUGAGGACAAAAUGCAAUCCUCUGAGGAAUCUGGAUGCCUGCCUCUUCAGCCUUUUCUCACCUACGCCUCCAGCCAAGCUUUACCAAGCUUUUUUAAUUUCCUCAAAAGCAUUCAGUCUGAUUUCAUUUAGGAGCCAUUGCAAAGAGCAUCCACCUUACCUCAGCUGACUUUCUUCUCAUCCUUCAGAACUGUUUAUUGGCCCCUUUCUCACAAAGUAUGCCCUUCCCCCAGGAUGUACUGAGAACCUGAGAACCACCCAGAAUAAGCUUAUUAUAAUAAAUUAUAAUAACCUGUUAACAGAUCUACCUCCCCAGCUAGGCCACAGUGAUGGGGGGGGGUCAUCAAUGUUUUUUGUUCAUUAAUGUAUUGACUUGUUUGUGUCUGUCUCCCUCAACGGUAAUGACCUUGAUGAAAUCAGGAACAAUAUUUUUUGUCCACUGUUAUAUUCUCAAUGUGCAGCAGAGCAGCUGGCACAUAGUAGGGCCAAAGUUCAACACAGCCCCAUUUUUAUCUCAUCACCACCUAACUUCCACUGAACACUUUGUGUGAGUUGGCUCUGUGAUAAGCAUUUAUAGACUAAGUCAUUUAAUUCUCACAGUCAAUGUAUGAGAUAGGCAUAGUAGUCCCCCUUUAUCCACAGGGAACACAUUCUAAGACCUGCAAUGGAUGCCUGAAACCUACAACAGUACUGAUCCCUGUAUAUGUAUGGGUGGGUAUUUAUAUAUGUAUACAAUACAUAUAUGGUUUUGUAUACAUAUAUGUAUGUUUUUUCCUAUACAUGCAUACUUAUGACAAACUUUCACCUUUUUACUUAAAUGCCUUUAUGGCUUCUCUUUGACAUAUCUGAAUUGCCAGCAUAACUAACCUUGUACUUUGAGACCAUUCUUCAGCAAAAUAUGAGUUACCUGAACACAAGCCCUGCAAGACUGCAGCAGUCAAUCUGAUAGCCAAGAAAGUUACCACCUAGGGGCAGUAGUGGAUAUAACAUGGAAAGACUGAACAAAGGGAUGAUACAUGUCCUGGGUGAAAUAGAGCAAGAUGACACAAGAUUUCAUCAAACUAACCAGAAUGGUGCAUGAUUUUAAAACUUAUGAAUUAUUUAUUUUUAGAAGUUUCCAUUUAAUAUUUUUGAACCACGGUUGGCCAGGAGUAACUAAAACCAAUAUAAGAGAAGACUUCUGUACUCCCAUUGUAUGAAGUAGGAACUAUUAUCAGCCCCAUUUUACAGUCAAGGACAACAGGGCACAGUAGCUCAGCCAAAGCACAGACAGAAAGUUCUAGAAUCAUAAAGGCUUUCAAACUCAGGUAACGUGGCUCCAGCACCUUAACCCAUACUCCAUACUGUCCUUAUCACAACAUUUAUUGCAUGUGCUGUAGGUGCCUCUUCCCCGGAAGAAAUGAACCAAGAACUAGCCUUUUAGUUGCUCAGCUAAUAUCAUCCACCAGGUGGCAGUCACAGCUCCCAGAUAAAAUGCUGUUACGUUGUAUCGCUCCGUACCCCCUUCCCUCCUGUGAGAAACUCGAUUUUUUUGUUAUUACCAAGAGGUGAGCAGUCUGGAUUCAAAGCACAACUUUCUGAUUGAGCUUUUUGAAGAUGGAACUUGGAGAACGUGCUUGUCCCAUCCGCCGCGUACAUACACUAUGCGGCAAGUGGCCCAGGCUACUGGGCACCAGAGCGGGUGGAGAACCAGGACACCCCUAGUGCACUGCACAGAAUACAGGAUCCUCUGUGUAAGAUGUAAUUUCAGUCCACAGAAGAGAUGAUUUGCUCCUCCCUCCCCCACUCCUCCUCAAGCAGCUGCUAGAGCUGAGGGGAAAACUAAAACAUACUUAUUCCUAGUCACGAUUCCAUUUGGCCAGUGGCAGGCGUGGGGACAUAGGGUUCCCUGAGGAAAUAUCCUCAGAUGACUGUUAGUGAAGGGCCCUCCCAUGUCAUCUGUGGCUGAAAUGCUUUUCCUUCACCUGCUGCUGCUUGGAAGAAGUAUGAUUCCAAGUGGGGAUCAGGGGUUGGAUGGUCCUUCCUCAUAAGUUACCCCAACUUUCACAGAGCUAGCCCCAGGACUUACUUAAGAAGGAAAGUGGCCCAAUUCCAUGGGAGGGUGAGAGGCAAAAUGUGUUCUUUAGAAUGAAGAAAUUGUCAUAUUAGUUCAAACAAAUGCAUGUUGUUUUAACCCUCAAAAUGUAAUAUAACAUAGUUGUAAUGUAACAUAAUUGGGUUCUUUAUGUUUCAGUCAGAGGAUAUGAUAAUGGUACCCAAGUCUAAAGGUGCCUGAGAGCUAAAUCUGUUCUCAGUCAAAUCAGUGAACCUCUAAGGCCAUUGCUCAACUUCAAGAUAAUAUCUACUGUCUCCAUCUUCAGCCUUUGGGAAUAGGAAAAUCCUGGCACCACAGUAACAAGACCAACACUUGAGUUAGGACUGAAUGGAUGAGAGGAUCCACCCCUGUGGGGAGCUGAGAAAUGAUUCUCUAGAUCUGGUAGCAAGAAAAUUGAACACCCUACCCCUGUACCCUGCCCCUACUCCUCUGCUGCCUCACCACCACUAAACCAACAUGACCAUGUGUUUGACUCCUAGUUUUUUAGCUCAGUUUCCUCUAAAGUGUUUCCUGUGUAAUCAUUUCUAACUCAUUUUCCUCCCAUAACCUCUCUUCAAAUUAAAAUAAUGCAUAAUGAGAAUUAGAGUCUGUGCAGUGUUUCUGAACACCAAGCACUACUUGUUAAAUCAGAGUGCACUUUCAAACAAGCAAAGAAUUUUAAUGAGACUUCAGAGGACAGGGAGGGAACUGUACUAAAAGUCUCUUUGUAAUCAAUAUCCUUCUUCUUCUGUGUGUCCAAGGAGGAUUAGAAUGCAUUGUUUGCUUCUAUUUCAUGAAGGUUUUGUCUUUGCUAAUGGUUUCCAAGGGAAAAGGAUUAGUAAUGCGUUGUACAUUGUAUUUCUUCCCAAAAUAGUAGAGCACGUGGGAUUUUGCCAACACCCAGUUGGUUCACAUGUGUCUUCCUCACUGCCCGUGUUUCCUCCAACUUGCCUGAAUGCUGCUGUCAUCAUCUUGGCUCAAUUCACCAUAAUCCACCAAAAUACACCAAUAUUACCCACCAAGACUACUGCUUUCACCUCCUAAAUUGUUCUUCCACCCACCCCACAGUCAGGUCUCUGCACAGUUGCCAGAGUGAUCACAAAUCAGUUCAUAUCCCUCCCUUACAGCUUUCUGCAGUGGCUCUCCCUAAACCAAACUGAAAAUGAAAUUGUUUAGACUUACAAUCAGAGCUCAAAUUAUGAAACUACUAGAAGAAAACUUAAAGGAAAUGUUUCAUGGCUUUGGACUGAGCGAGGAAUUUUUGAGCAAGAUCUCAAAUACCAUGGCAACAAAAGCAAAAACAGACAAGUGGGAUGAUAUCAAACUUAAAACCUGCAUAGCAAAGGAAAUACUCAGUGUGAAGAGACAAACUUCAGAAUGGGAGAAAGCUUUUGAAAUAAUAUACAAUGAUAAUUAGUUAAUAUCUAUGGUACACCAGGAAACAACCUACUUAAAAAUGGACAAAAGACCUGAGAAAACAUCUCUUAAAAGAAGACAUACAAAUGGUCAGUAGAUGUAUGAAAAAUGCCAACAUCACUAAUCAUCAGGGAAAAGCAAAUCAAAACUACAAAAGGAGUUAGAAUAGCUAUUAUAAAGGAGGGGAAAAUGUGGAGAAAAGAGAAACCUUGGGAACUGUUGGUGGAAAUGUGCUAAUAUAGCCACUGUGGAAAACAGUAUAGAGACUCCUCAACAACCACAAAAUUAAAAAUAAAGCUGAAAUAAAAUCUUAAGUCUCCACCCUAGCCAGUAAGAGGCUUAUGUGAUGCCUCCAUCUCACUCAGCUCUGCUCCUGCCCCACCCUCCAGCCCAGCCCCACUGCUCUUCAUGCAUACUGAUCAAGCUCUGUCUUGCCUCAGUACUUUUGCACAUGCUAUCUGCUCUGCUCAGGAUACUUUCCUCAGAUUUCAGCAUGGCUUGUUUAGUCUAAUUAUUCAGAUUUCACCUAUCAGAGAAGCCAUCUUUCAACUCCAAGUUAAAGUAGACAUACUGCUUCCUAGUUUUCUCCAGACUGUCCAAUUUUAUUCUCCUCACAAUACCUACCAUUAACAUUUUCUUGUUUAUAGGGAUGUCUACUUGCUAAUUGUUUGAUUUUUCCUUCCAGAAUGGAAAUGCAAAGAGGAAAAAGACUGUUCUGAUUUUGUUCCCACAAUAUCCCAGAGACCAGGACAGUGCAAAUUCUUCUUUUGUGUGUGUGCAAAUUCUUAUUAGGUGAAUGAUUAAGCGAACAAGAAAAUUACCCGAUGUAAUUCCUUUCUGCAGGUUGACAACUUUGGCUAACAGUUAUCAAGUUCAAAAUUCAGAUUUGUGGAUCCAUGUAUAAUCAAUCCUCUGUAUCUCAGGGUUCUGUGUCUGCAAAUUUAACUGAGCUUGAAUUAAAAAUAUUCAGAAAAAAUUUGCAUUUGUAGUGCAUAUGUACAGACUUUAUUCCUUAUCAUUAUUCC